rnacentral:rRNA from 1 species
GAUGAACGCUGGCGGCGUGCCUAAUACAUGCAAGUAGAACGCUGAAGGAAGGAGCUUGCUCUUUCCGGAUGAGUUGCGCACGGGUGAGUAACGCGUAGGUAACCUGCCUGGUAGCGGGGGAUAACUAUUGGAAACGAUAGCUAAUACCGCAUAACAGUAGAUGUUGCAUGAUAUCUACUUAAAAGGUGCAAUUGCACUACUACCAGAUGGACCUGCGUUGUAUUAGCUAGUUGGUGAGGUAACGGCUCACCAAGGCGACGAUACAUAGCCGACCUGAGAGGGUGAUCGGCCACUCUGGGACUGCGACACGGCCCAGACUCCUACGGGAGGCAGCAGUAGGGAAUCUUCGGCAAUGGACGGAAGUCUGACCGAGCAACGCCGCGUGAGUGAAGAAGGUUUUCGGAUCGUAAAGCUCUGUUGUAAGAGAAGAACUAGUGUGAGAGUGGAAAGUUCACACUGUGACGGUAGCUUACCAGAAAGGGACGGCUAACUACGUG